rnacentral:rRNA from 1 species
GAUGAACGCUGACAGAAUGCUUAACACAUGCAAGUCAACUUGAAUUUGGGUUUUUAACUUAGGUUUGGGUGGCGGACGGGUGAGUAACGCGUAAAGAACUUGCCUCACAGCUAGGGACAACAUUUGGAAACGAAUGAUAAUACCUAAUAUUAUGAUAAUAGGGCAUCCUAUAAUUAUGAAAGCUAUAAGCGCUGUGAGAGAGCUUUGCGUCCCAUUAGCUAGUUGGAGAGGUAACGGCUCACCAAGGCGAUGAUGGGUAGCCGGCCUGAGAGGGUGAUCGGCCACAAGGGGACUGAGACACGGCCCUUACUCCUACGGGAGGCAGCAGUGGGGAAUAUUGGACAAUGGACCGAGAGUCUGAUCCAGCAAUUCUGUGUGCACGAUGAAGUUUUUCGGAAUGUAAAGUGCUUUCAGUUGGGAAGAAACAAAUGACGGUACCAACAGAAGAAGUGACGGCUAAAUACGUG